UAGGGAAUUUUCGUCAAUGGGCGCAAGCCUGAACGAGCAAUGCCGCGUGAGGGAAGAAGGCCCUAUGGGUCGUAAACCUCUUUUGUCAGGGAACAAAAGCGAGUAUGUAUACUAGUCUGAGUGUACCUGAAGAAAAAGCAUCGGCUAACUCCGUGCCAGCAGCCGCGGUAAUACGGAGGAUGCGAGCGUUAUCCGGAUUUAUUGGGUUUAAAGGGUGCGUAGGCGGCGAUGCAAGUCAGCGGUAAAAGCCCGGGGCUCAACCCCGGCGAGCCGUUGAAACUGCAGUGCUAGAGAAGGCGAGAGGUACGCGGAAUGCGCAGUGUAGCGGUGAAAUGCUUAGAUAUUGCGCAGAACUCCGAUUGCGAAGGCAGCGUACUGGCGCCUGACUGACGCUGAGGCACGAAAGCGUGGGGGAUCGAACAGGGAUUAGAUACC
rnacentral:rRNA from 1 species